GAUGAACGCUGGCGGCGUGCCUAAUACAUGCAAGUCGAGCGAACAGAUGAUGAUCUUGCUCCUCUGACGUUAGCGGCGGACGUGUGAGUAACACGUGUAUAACCUACCUAUAAUACUGGUAUAACUUCGGGAAACCGGAGCUAAUACCGUAUAAGAUAUUGAACCGCAUUGGGGAAUAGUGAAAUACGGUGUUGCGGUCACUUAUAGAUGGUUCUGCGCCGCAUUAGCUAGUUGGUAAGGUAACGGCUUACCAAGGCAACGAGGCGUAGCCGACCUGAGAGGGGGAUCGGCGACCCUGGAACGGAGACACGGUCAAGAGUACUACGGGACGGCGCAGAAGGGAAUCGUACGCAGUGGGCGAAAGCCUGACGGAGUGGCGCCGAGUGAGUGAUGGAGGUCUUCGGAGCGUAAAACUCUGUUAUUAGGGAAGAACAACUGUGUAAGUAAAUAUGGCCGUAUUGACGGUAACUAAUAAGAAAGCAACGGCUAACUACGUG
rnacentral:rRNA from 1 species